ACCUUAUCCUUGUUUUCCCUUUAAAAGGAAAAAAAUUAAAGGUAAAAACCAUUAGGGAUUUCUCUUUAAAUCCAGCAAUCUACGCAUACUACUAAGAAUCAAUGCUCUGUAAGCUGUCUGGUGUUCUGCAAUAAAUUCUAGCUUUUAUAGACUUUUUCUGGGCCAGGUAGCUGUUAAUGCCAUAGAAAUUGAUUAUUUGUGGUGUUCUUAUCACUGCUUAAAAUAUCUAAUUGCUUUUUCUCCACAGAUUUGGAUUUGGCUUGCUUGAUGCUGGACGAUUAAUGAAGGAAGCCCUAACUGGACAAAUGUUGGUCUCCUGAGACAAUGUGUUGUUGAUAACAGAAAAAGAUUGACAAUAAGAUGUGGAUGUUCAUCUUUAAUGAACUCUAGUCACCAAGUGGAAACCAGCUAGCUUUGAUGAUGCAAAUGAACACCUUCUCAGCAAUAGCUGAAUACUUGCUCCUCAAAAUGAGCAAACCUGUUAACUGUGAAUGUGAAGAGAUGAAGCAAGCAAAAAAGAAAAAGUGUGAAGAGCUUUGCUGCCAUAUCGUCACUGUAUCAGAUAAUUUUAGGAUCAAUGAGUGAAUAGGUAUGUAAGAGAGACUGUUUUUCUACAGAGAAGGGCUAUUUCAAAGAAAGGGGGGGAAAUUAAAAGGCACAUCAGUACAUUGUCAUUAUAUGAUGAUGAUAUUAGAGAAAGAACUUCAUUUGUCUUCUUUUAAUUUUGGAUCUUUACAGUAGAAGACUACUGCAGAGAGAUCUAGGUAAUAAUAUCUUUGAUCUAAUCGAGUGCUGCAACAGUACCAGUAUUGUUGUUUUCUUGUUGGAGUUACUCAUGUAAGAGAAACCACUCUGCUGUGUAAGUUGAAGGUUCACAUUCUGUCCUUCAUUUUUGCACUUUACAUUAUAAGACUCUUUGUUUUCUGUAGAGGUAAGAUAUCAUCACCUUUGUUUAAGCAAGAAAGUGUUGAUUUUCAAAUUUCUUGAGAUUUUAAUUAUUGUGAUUAUAAUUUAAUGCUGCUGCAAUGUUUCACAGGCAGAAGUUAUAACAGUGUAAAUCACUUGGGAUAACCGGCAUAAAUUUAAGGGUUUUUUCUCUGAAUAUUCAUAGUACACUGGAAACUGGGAUGUCAGGAUUUCUCAAGAUAAGACCAUCUAUUUCUGUGUUGGCCUCCAUGGACCUACAUGCUACAUUGCCUUCCUCCCUUUUAUACUAAAGCAAGAAAAAGGUUUCCCUCACUAGCAGGGAUUCUGAGGUUGUCUUUGACAGGCACAAUUUGGUGAUUCUAGUGCUGUACAAGACUGCUGCCUCGCAGAAGAUAUGGGGGAUGUCUGGACUGUCGGCAUCAAGUGCUUGCUUUAAAUGCCAGAGGUGGAAGAGUUCUGGAAAGAGCUGAAAAAAUAAAAGUAGAGUAAUUUGCA
rnacentral:lncRNA from 1 species